GACGAACGCUGGCGGCGUGCUUAACACAUGCAAGUCGAACGGAAAGGCCCUGCUUUUGUUGGGUGCUCGAGUGGCGAACGGGUGAGUAACACGUGAGUAACCUGCCCUUGACUUUGGGAUAACUUCAGGAAACUGGGGCUAAUACCGGAUAUGAUCUCCUGCUGCAUGGUGGGGGUUGGAAAGUUUCGGCGGUUGGGGAUGGACUCGCGGCUUAUCAGCUUGUUGGUGGGGUAGUGGCUUACCAAGGCUUUGACGGGUAGCCGGCCUGAGAGGGUGACCGGCGACAAGGGGACUGAGAUACGGCCCAGAAUCCUACGGGAGGCAGCAGGGGGGAAUAUUGCAGAAUGGGCGGAAGCCUGAUGCAGCAACGCCGCGUGCGGGAUGACGGCCUUCGGGUUGUAAACAGAUGUCGCAGGUGACGAAGCGUGAGUGACGGUAAUGGGUAAAGAAGCACCGGCUAACUACGUG
rnacentral:rRNA from 1 species